rnacentral:rRNA from 1 species
UACGUAGGGGGCUAGCGUUGUCCGGAAUCAUUGGGCGUAAAGCGCGUGUAGGCGGUCCGGUAAGUCCGCUGUGAAAGUCGGGGGCUCAACCCUCGAAUGCCGGUGGAUACUGUCGGGCUAGAGUGCGGAAGAGGCGAGUGGAAUUCCUGGUGUAGCGGUGAAAUGCGCAGAUAUCAGGAGGAACACCAAUUGCGAAGGCAGCUCGCUGGGACGUUACUGACGCUGAGACGCGAAAGCCAGGGGAGCAAACGGG